rnacentral:tRNA from 7 species
GCCGAAAUGGCGGAACCGGUAGACGCGGCGGACUCAAAAUCCGUUUGUAGAGAUACAGUGUGGGUUCGAGUCCCACUUUCGGCACCA